AGGUCUGCCUCCACCCCAAGAGGACCUCGUGGACGUGGUGCCCCAGGUUCCACCAUCCCCAGGAGAAGAGUGCCACGCUUGGACUCGUUUUUGCUGUUUCUGGGACAGUGGUGCCAUUCCCCUCCCGUGACUGACUCCUGCGUGCAGUCCCUAAUCUGCCCAUCACCCCCGGGGCACUGUCCACGGCACUCUGUUGGUUUCCUCCACACUGUCUAACACAACCUGAAACAACCUCAUCUGCCCACCACGUCUCAUCUGUGCCUCCCUGCCUGGAACGGAGCUGCAGGAAGGCAGCGAUGUUUGUCUGGAGUGUCCAGCCCCUGGUUGUGGGUUCCCUGUUCGCUGGUGCAGGUCUAUGAGGAGGAAACACACAGAAACCAAAAGAUGGAAUCAGGCUGUCUCGGGCUACUUCCUUCCGCCACAGCUCUGCCUGGAGUGCCAGCCCCAGCACAGGUGAAUACACAGAACCAGCGCCUCCCUCCUGGAGCUUUCUUGGGGAGACCAGUGAGGGUGAACAAGGAAGUGGAUAGAGAACUCCCCGCAGCGUAAGUGCAGUGGGGACAUUUGUGGCAGGGAGUGCCUGGGGAGGGUGGUCGGGGAAGGCUGCCCCAAGGAGGUAUCAUCUGAGCAAGACCCAAAAUUGUAAGAAGUAGCACGCGGCGCUCCCAGGGAAGAGCAUGCCGGGCUGGAGGCCCUGCGGAGGGGACAAGCUCAGCAGCUUGGAGGA